rnacentral:tRNA from 1 species
GGGAAACGGUUUCCUAUGAUUUUCAGCCUAUUAGGAUGGUUGUCUGCUCGUUUACACCGAAGAUGUCGGGAGUUCGAGUCUCUCACGACCCACCA